UAGGGACGAGUACCGGUGUCGUGACAGCGUCUGUGUCGCGAUAAGCGCGAAGCUAUGGCGUUCUGGGAUCUGCAGCGCGAGCUGGGCAUCGCUGUGGAGCGGUGGCUGCUGCGGCUGAGCAUUCCGCAGCCCUAGGGCAAGCGCGGGGCCUCUCACGCCUUCGAGCGGGAGUGGUGGGGGUGCGGGCACGGCCUGGGCCAGACCCGCGAGUGCCAACCCCAGUGCGAGGACUUCAUGGAGUUCAUGCACCGCACCGAGACGAACCAUCCUGGAGCAGAGGGACAAGAUGAUCAAGGAAGGGAAGUACACACCCCCUGACUACCACAGAGGCAAAGAGGAGCCACAGCUGUGACCUGCUGGGGACCUGGACAUCGGGGAAGAAGACCCAGGAACUGUGUGACACCAGCGUGGGGGGUGCUGAAGGGGGGAGACCCCAUGCUGGGCAUGGUUUGGGGCAGUAAAUGUUUCCUUUGGAACAGC